rnacentral:lncRNA from 1 species
CUUGAAUCGGAGUUGUAACGAAGAAGUUACGAUCAAAACACUUCCAGUGGCAAAACCGUAAUUAUUUCAAAAUUUGGGUUUAAAAUAUCUGACUUUUCUCUCUCUCUCUCUCUCUCUCUCUCUCUCUCUCUCUCUCUCUCUCCCUCUCCCGCGGCUGAACUCCCCCUCCCCGUUUUGAUUUUUCGCCAGAUUUCAGACGGCGAGAACUUCGCCGUCCGACCUCCGUUUGAGGCGCCGUUUCUUGCAAAAGCUUCAUCUCUUCCUCCUCUACCCAGCCCCCCCCUUUUCUCCGAUCGAAAACCCGGCAAACGGCGGUGGCAACGACGUGAAAACAGGCUGAAACUGCCGACGUCGCCGACGACGUUUCCGGCCAUCUCGAGCUGCGCCGUCACUUGGAACAGGUAGCUCUACUUCCCUUCUAGCCAUUUCUUAGGUUGUACGACGACCAUGUCGACGGUGGUUGCCGGAUCGAGGCCGUGAAGUUCCGGGUUAAAAUCGUGAGUUUCCGACGCCGAUUCCGACCACUUGCCGUCCGAAUUGGACCUUGGUGUAGUUGAAUAAUGUGUUCCACUCAUCGAGUAGAAUCUGUAGCCGGAAGGGUGAGCUCGGGUGUGGAGAUUUUUCCGUCGCCGGAAAUUUCUCUACACACCCACGCGCUGCCGGCGCGUGUGGCGGCGCGUGGGCGAGGCCGGUGAGGCUGCAAAUUAACCCGAAGAGAUCCUUAGGUUGUCACGAGCGCGUAGGAUUUCGCGGAUCUCAAUUCGGAUGUCGUUUGACUAUCGAACGGAUUUUCGCAUAUUGUGCGUUAUCCGGGUUCGAUAGGUUCCGACCGUUA